rnacentral:rRNA from 1 species
CCUACGGGAGGCAGCAGUAAGGAAUAUUGGUCAAUGGACGCAAGUCUGAACCAGCCAUGCCGCGUGAAGGAUUAAGGUCCUCUGGAUUGUAAACUUCUUUUAUUUGGGACGAAAAAGGGCCUUUCUAGGUCAACUGACGGUACCAGAUGAAUAAGCACCGGCUAACUCCGUGCCAGCAGCCGCGGUAAUACGGAGGGUGCAAGCGUUAUCCGGAUUCACUGGGUUUAAAGGGUGCGUAGGCGGGUAGGUAAGUCAGUGGUGAAAUCCUAGAGCUUAACUCUAGAACUGCCAUUGAUACUAUCUAUCUUGAAUAUUGUGGAGGUAAGCGGAAUAUGUCAUGUAGCGGUGAAAUGCUUAGAUAUGACAUAGAACACCUAUUGCGAAGGCAGCUUACUACGCAUAUAUUGACGCUGAGGCACGAAAGCGUGGGGAUCAAACAGGAUUAGAUACCCUGGUAGUCCACGCCCUAAACCUAUGGAUACUCGACAUUUGUGAUACACAAUAAGUGUCUGAGNGAAGACAUAAGUAUCCACCNCGGAGUACGUCCGCGAGAGAGAACGUACGAAGAAGUAGACGGACGUGAGAGNGCCGACGGACGACGACGAGGGAGGAGG